rfam:Pelodiscus sinensis unplaced genomic scaffold scaffold542, whole genome shotgun sequence.
AGGAGCCUUGGACUCUCUGCCUGCCCUGCCUAGGGCAGGUGGAGGAUCAAAGGCUUCCCACAGUGACUUGGGCUCCCUGAGUAGCUGUUACCAUGGCCCAGGUCCAGCUUCCAGCCUGGCCAGGCAGUA